UACGAAGGGGGCAAGCGUUGUUCGGAAUUACUGGGCGUAAAGGGCUCGUAGGCGGUUUGUCGCGUCGGGAGUGAAAUCCACUGGCUUAACUGGUGGCUUGCUUUCGAUACGGGCAGACUGGAGGUAUGCAGGGGAGAACGGAAUUCCUGGUGUAGCGGUGAAAUGCGCAGAUAUCAGGAGGAACACCGGUGGCGAAGGCGGGUCUCUGGGCCGAUACUGACGCUGAGGAGCGAAAGCGUGGGAGCGAACAGG
rnacentral:rRNA from 1 species